rnacentral:rRNA from 1 species
CCUACGGGAGGCAGCAGUGAGGAAUAUUGGUCAAUGGGCGAGAGCCUGAACCAGCCAAGUCGCGUGAAGGAUGACGGCCCUACGGGUUGUAAACUUCUUUUGUCAGGGAGCAAUUGGGUCCACGCGUGGGCUUAGCGUGAGUACCUGAAGAAACAGCAUCGGCUAACUCCGUGCCAGCAGCCGCGGUAAUACGGACGAUGCGAGCGUUAUCCGGAUUUAUGGGGUUUAAAGGGUGCCUAGGCGGAAUAUCAAGUCCACGGGAAAAAUUCGGGGCUAAAACCCGUCGUGACGGUGAAACUGAUGGUCUUGAGUGGGCGAGAAGUAUGCGGAAUGCGUGGUGUAGGGGUGAAAUGCAUAGAUAUCACGAAGAACUCCGAUUGCGAAGGCAGCAUACCGGCGCCCAACUGACGCUGAAGCACGAAAGCGUAGGUAUCGAACAGGAUUAGAUACCCGUGUAGUC